GGGGAUUUAGCUCAGCGGCAUAAGCGCCUGCCUUGCAAGCAGGCAGUUGUGAGCUCGAUCCCCG
rfam:Cavia porcellus supercont2_29 genomic scaffold, whole genome shotgun sequence.